AAGAAGGGGAUGAUGCAAUAAAAUCAGGCAGUUCACCCAUGUAGCUUGAAAGAGGCGUCAGGGGAGACCCGAAACGUCAAGUUCUCUGACAAAGUCUCCUUUAGGGAGAUGAGCAAUCCUGCGGGUUGUAUAGUAA
rfam:Nitrospirae bacterium GWA2_42_11 gwa2_scaffold_4666, whole genome shotgun sequence.